AUUGAACGCUGGCGGCAGGCUUAACACAUGAAAGUCGAGCGGGGGAGGUUGCUUCGGUAAUUGACCUAGCGGCGGACGGGUGAGUAAUGUUUAGGAAUCUGCCAUUUAGUGGGGGACAACAUCCCGAAUGGAUUGUCAAUACCUCAUACGUCCUUCGAGCGAAAGCAGGGGAUCUUCGGACCUUGCGCUAACUGAAGAGGCAUAGUCGGAUUAGUGAGUUGGUGGGGUAAAGGCCUACCAAGGCAACGAUCUGUAGCGGGACUGAGAGGAUGAUCCGCCACACUGGGACUGAGACACGGCCCAGACUCCUACGGGAUGCAGCAGUGGGGAAUAUUGGACAAUGGGCGGAAGCCUGAUCCAUCCAUGCCGCGUGUGAAGAAGGCCUUUUGGUUGUAAAGCACUUUAAGCGAGGAGGAGGCUACCUGGAUUAAUACUCUAGGGUAGUGGACGUUACUCGCAGAAUAAGCACCGGCUAACUCUGUGCCAGCAGCCGCCGUAACAC
rnacentral:rRNA from 1 species